GAGGGGGAAGGGCAUGGUGGACCCCCUGUUCCAAGCCCCCACCGGGAUGGGGACCCACGACGCCGUCCUCAGCUCCUACGAGUACCUCAGCCAAGGCCUCCGCGAGUACAACCUCGACAACAAGCUCGACGGCUUCUACAUCGCCCCCGCCUUCAUGGACAAGCUCGUCGUCCACCUCUCCAAGAACUUCAUGACCCUCCCCAACAUCAAGGUUGCUCACCCACCUCAUCACAUGCUUUCUUCUUAUUCUAUUAAUAACAUCUUGGCACCUGCAGAUUCCGUUGAUUCUGGGUAUAUGGGGAGGCAAGGGGCAGGGGAAAUCCUUCCAGUGCGAGCUGGUGUUCCGGAAGAUGGGGAUCAACCCGAUCAUGAUGAGCGCCGGUGAGCUGGAGAGCGGGAACGCGGGAGAGCCGGCGAAGCUGAUCAGGCAGCGCUACAGGGAGGCGGCCGACAUCAUCAAGAAGGGGAAGAUGUGCUGCCUCUUCAUCAACGACCUCGACGCCGGGGCCGGCCGGAUGGGCGGCACCACCCAGUACACGGUCAACAACCAGAUGGUGAACGCCACGCUCAUGAACAUCGCCGACAACCCCACCAACGUGCAGCUUCCCGGGAUGUACAACAAGCAGGAGAACCCCCGCGUGCCCAUCAUCGUCACCGGAAACGACUUCUCCACCCUCUACGCGCCGCUCAUCCGUGACGGUCGUAUGGAGAAGUUCUACUGGGCACCCACCCGCGACGACCGUGUCGGUGUGUGCAAGGGUAUCUUCCGUACCGACGGCGUCUCCGACGAGUGCGUCACCAAACUCGUCGACACCUUCCCCGGCCAGUCCAUCGGUACUACCCUAUAUUCAUUCAUUCUCUAUAUACAUAUAUCUCUUCACUUCAAUAUUUACAUCACAAUAAUCAUUUUCAUAUUGCAAAUCUACAAAAUACCUACUUUUUGACUUAUUAUACUGUUUUGACUUUACUUGACCAAUUUAAGACUAAAUUCAUAACUAAACCUAAUUUUAGUUGCGAAUUGCCCGCCCUAGCUAUUUCAAGAGCAAUUCAAAACUCUACAUACUCUUAAUUAUGAAUUAAGGGAUAAAACAGUAGAAAUGGCUGUUUUUAUCAUUUUUAUAUUCGUGGCUAGUUAUUUUACUAUCUUGAAAUGAUAAGUCCACUCUUUAUCAACGUAUCUAUUUUGUUGUUGUAAAGAUAAAAGGAAUAAAAGAAAAUAGUAAUUUUUUAGUUCAACGUAUUGUUUUGGUCUUAAUUAGCAUGAGGCUAGCUUUAGAUUAUACUAGGAAGCUUCGUAGUUGUAAAUUAUAAGCAAAGAGUAAUUCAUUUUUUUGAGGUGCAGUAAAAUAACGUUAUUCUGUUUACUUUCAGAUUUCUUCGGUGCUCUUCGGGCGCGAGUGUAUGACGAUCUAGUGAGAGAGUGGGUGAGCGGAAUUGGGGUGGAGAACAUCGGACGUAAGCUGGUGAACUCUCGGGACGGGCCGCCGGUGUUCGAGCAGCCGAAGAUGACGCUGGAGAAGCUGCUGAGCUACGGUAACAUGCUGGUCGCAGAGCAAGACAAUGUCAAGAGAGUGCAGCUGGCUGACAAAUAUUUGAAGGAUGCUGCUCUCGGCGAUGCUAACAAGGAUGCCAUUGACACCGGAAAGUUCUAGAAUAGCUCUCAACCCAUUAUCACGUUCCCGCCUACCUGCUGAUGUUUAUACAAAUUCUGUUUUUUCCCUAUCUUCUUCUCCUUUUCUUUUUCUUGUUUUUCUCCCUUCAAUUUGUGUA
rnacentral:lncRNA from 1 species